AUGAACGCUAGCUACAGGCUUAACACAUGCAAGUCGAGGGGCAGCAUUUUAGUUUGCUUGCAAACUAAAGAUGGCGACCGGCGCACGGGUGAGUAACACGUAUCCAACCUGCCGAUAACUCGGGGAUAGCCUUUCGAAAGAAAGAUUAAUAUCCGAUAGUAUAUUAAAACCGCAUGGUUUUACUAUUAAAGAAUUUCGGUUAUCGAUGGGGAUGCGUUCCAUUAGUUUGUUGGCGGGGUAACGGCCCACCAAGACUACGAUGGAUAGGGGUUCUGAGAGGAAGGUCCCCCACAUUGGAACUGAGACACGGUCCAAACUCCUACGGGAGGCAGCAGUGAGGAAUAUUGGUCAAUGGACGAGAGUCUGAACCAGCCAAGUAGCGUGAAGGAUGACUGCCCUAUGGGUUGUAAACUUCUUUUAUAUGGGAAUAAAGUAUUCCACGUGUGGGAUUUUGUAUGUACCAUAUGAAUAAGGAUCGGCUAACUCCGUGCCAGCAGCCGCGGUAAUACGGAGGAUCCGAGCGUUAUCCGGAUUUAUUGGGUUUAAAGGGAGCGUAGGUGGAUUGUUAAGUCAGUUGUGAAAGUUUGCGGCUCAACCGUAAAAUUGCAGUUGAAACUGGCAGUCUUGAGUACAGUAGAGGUGGGCGGAAUUCGUGGUGUAGCGGUGAAAUGCUUAGAUAUCACGAAGAACUCCGAUUGCGAAGGCAGCUCACUAGACUGCAACUGACACUGAUGCUCGAAAGUGUGGGUAUCAAACAGGAUUAGAUACCCUGGUAGUCCACACAGUAAACGAUGAAUACUCGCUGUUUGCGAUAUACAGUAAGCGGCCAAGCGAAAGCAUUAAGUAUUCCACCUGGGGAGUACGCCGGCAACGGUGAAACUCAAAGGAAUUGACGGGGGCCCGCACAAGCGGAGGAACAUGUGGUUUAAUUCGAUGAUACGCGAGGAACCUUACCCGGGCUUAAAUUGCAUUUGAAUAAUCUGGAAACAGGUUAGCCGCAAGGCAAAUGUGAAGGUGUUGCAUGGUUGUCGUCAGCUCGUGCCGUGAGGUGUCGGCUUAAGUGCCAUAACGAGCGCAACCCUUAUCUUUAGUUACUAACAGGUCAUGCUGAGGACUCUAGAGAGACUGCCGUCGUAAGAUGUGAGGAAGGUGGGGAUGACGUCAAAUCAGCACGGCCCUUACGUCCGGGGCUACACACGUGUUACAAUGGGGGGUACAGAAGGCAGCUACCUGGCGACAGGAUGCUAAUCCCAAAAACCUCUCUCAGUUCGGAUCGAAGUCUGCAACCCGACUUCGUGAAGCUGGAUUCGCUAGUAAUCGCGCAUCAGCCAUGGCGCGGUGAAUACGUUCCCGGGCCUUGUACACACCGCCCGUCAAGCCAUGAAAGCCGGGGGUACCUGAAGUACGUAACCGCAAGGAGCGUCCUAGGGUAAAACUGGUAAUUGGGGCU
rnacentral:rRNA from 1 species